UACAGAGGUGGCAAGCGUUGUUCGGAGUUACUGGGCGUAAAGCGUGCGUAGGCGGUUGUCUAAGUUUGGUGUGAAAUCUCCUGCUUAACUGGGAGGGUGCGCCGAAAACUGGGUGACUGGAGUGUCGGAGAGGUAAGCGGAAUUCCUGGUGUAGCGGUGAAAUGCGCAGAUAUCAGGAGGAACACCGAUGGCGAAGGCAGGUCUCUGGGCAUUAACUGACGCUGAGGAGCGAAAGCAUGGGGAGCGAACAGG
rnacentral:rRNA from 1 species